rnacentral:rRNA from 1 species
UACAGAGGUCUCAAGCGUUGUUCGGAUUCAUUGGGCGUAAAGGGUGCGUAGGUGGCGCCGUAAGUCGGGUGUGAAAUCCCACGGCUUAACCGUGGAACUGCUUGGUAUACUGGGUGUCUUGAGCCAGCUAGGGGCUACCGGAACAAAUGGUGGAGCGGUGAAAUGCGUAGAUAUCAUUUGGAACGCCAAAGGUGAAAGCAGGUUGCUGGGGUUGUGCCGACGCUGAGACACGAAAGCCAGGGGAGCAAACGGG